GACUGCAGAGAUGAACGUACCAAAGGAAGGUGGGACGUGCUCCAUGCCAGGAGGGCAGCUCAAGGAACUCGGCCUGCUGCGUUUUCCGUGAAGAUCCUGUAAUCUGCAGGAUCUUUUGAAAUAUGCUCUAGUUCCACUAGUGUGAAGAUGGGACAGCCUUAGUAUUCUGGUUUCCAAGCAGUGCAAGCAGGACUCUGUAACACAGAUCACUCAAGCAGCCCACUUGAAUCUGAAUUAGUGGGACCUACCCAUUU